UACGUAGGGGGCAAGCGUUGUCCGGAAUCAUUGGGCGUAAAGAGCGUGUAGGCGGCCCGGUAAGUCCGCUGUGAAAGUCCAGGGCUCAACCCUGGGAUGCCGGUGGAUACUGUCGGGCUCGAGUCCGGAAGAGGAGUGUGGAAUUCCUGGUGUAGCGGUGAAAUGCGCAGAUAUCAGGAGGAACACCAAUGGCGAAGGCAGCACUCUGGGACGUGACUGACGCUGAGACGCGAAAGCGUGGGGAGCGAACAGG
rnacentral:rRNA from 1 species